GACGAACGCUGGCGGCGUGCCUAAUACAUGCAAGUUGAGCGAUGAAGAUUGGUGCUUGCACCAAUUUGAAGAGCAGCGAACGGGUGAGUAACGCGUGGGGAAUCUGCCUUUGAGCGGGGGACAACAUUUGGAAACGAAUGCUAAUACCGCAUAACAACUUUAAACAUAAGUUUUAAGUUUGAAAGAUGCAAUUGCAUCACUCAAAGAUGAUCCCGCGUUGUAUUAGCUAGUUGGUGAGGUAAAGGCUCACCAAGGCGAUGAUACAUAGCCGACCUGAGAGGGUGAUCGGCCACAUUGGGACUGAGACACGGCCCAAACGCCUACGGGAGGCAGCAGUAGGGAAUCUUCGGCAAUGGACGAAAGUCUGACCGAGCAACGCCGCGCGAGUGAAGAAGGUUUUCGGAUCGUAAAACUCUGUUGGUAGAGAAGAACGUUGGUGAGAGUGGAAAGCUCAUCAAGUGACGGUAACUACCCAGAAAGGGACGGCUAACUACGUG
rnacentral:rRNA from 1 species